ACAAUAAAACAGGGUAUGCUCUCUCCUCAUUAAGCCACGUCCUCAAGGAGAGUGGGGCAAUUGCCGACACGUGUCAUCGUUUUACACUCUCUGCGGUUUUCCUUCUGUUUGUUCCGGAAAUGAUUGUGUAAGGCCCAAACUUUAGCCCGUUUACAGAGCCGAACGGAAUUAUGGUUGCUCGUCGUCUUCCUCUUUCACGUGUGGCUGCAACGAUGUGAUUCACCAACUGAAAGUGUCGAUUCCAAACUCUGUAACGUCUCCCCGCUCCUUAAAUCAUCUCUUUACUCUGAGUUUUUCUUAAUUAAUUCACUAUGCCCACAUGAGUCAAUCAAUAUACCUUUUCGUUUUCCCAGUAACUGGUAGAAGUUUCACUUAUAAAUGUCUCUCCUUUCUUCGAUGUUGAGUUCAAUUCAAAGUAUUUCAAAAAGCAAAUAUUUUCAUAGCAAGGAUAUGACCACUUCUUACAUGCUCCUUGCUGAUCUGAGAGUCGGGCGAUGCUCCAACACGGCAACACCGCCGAGGUCCGUCUGUUGAGGUUUUGGAAGGCGAGAAACAUCAACAAAGGCCGGGAACUGAUGAGCCUCGAUAUGUCGCUCUUAAACUUAAGAUCCAUUGUCUCAAACUAACUCUCUAACCAAUUACAAUUACAUUUUACCCUUUUGGGGAAUUUGACCGAUUAGAUCUGCACUUUCGUAUGAGCUUACGAGCGAAUAAUGCAAUGUUCAUACGGUCGGGCUAUAUUGGAAAAGAUAUAAACUUUCCAUGAUUUGGUUUUUUUUUGUCACAUUGAAUUGGUGGUCAGGGUUCCAAUGAUGCUUUUUGGUUCCUCCUAUCUUUCUAAAGCUUAACCCAUUUGAUGGCAUUUGAUAAUGGAAUUGGAUUUAACAUCUAAUAUCCUAACGUCUUUUGGCUCAGGAAACAGGCAGUUUUGAGAGAUGGCAUCCAAGUUGCUACAAAUGAAGUCAAAGGCCUGUGAAGCAUCAAAGUUUGUGUCCAAGCACGGCACUACUUACUACAAAUAGUUUCUGGAGAAGAACAGGCAGUAUAUCCAGGAGCCAGCUACUGUUGAGAAAUGCCAAGAGUUGUCUAAGCAGCUUCCCUACACUCGUCUUGCGAGGAACCUGUGAGGUGGGCAAAUAAACCUCCAAAGAUCACAGAGAGUAGAGUUAGCAUCAGUUCAGACAUCAGCUCAGAUAUGUGCUCAAGUUUUCUGUUUCCUCAAAUCAUAAAUUCUUCACCAUUUCGAGGAUAUUUGACCGGAACCAGCGUCCACCAAUUCUAAACUUUGCUAAUUAAAGAUGAGGUGAUAACAACGCACAAGAUGACAUGCCUGGAGCAGGAGAAGUGACUACUAAGCCUUACAAAACUGUGAAAAAAGUUCCCCCUGCAUCAACCGCUGGAUUCCCUGCUUGUGGAGAUACAAAUGAAAUGCAACUUGUGAAGAAGCAAAGUUGCAGGGGGAAAGAGGAAAAAGCCACGUACUUCUAAGCUUUAUAGCUAGCGAGUGGCCAAGUCUACAGGAUUUUAUCUUCUUUAACGCUUGGAAUAAGUUUAGGGUUUCAUUGUUUCCUUGAAUCUUUUCGUUGCUGGUUUUUUUUUACAUUGUGUUUUGGUGGCUUGCUCACUAUGUUUCCUGUUGGAUCAAUUCAUUUGAAAGUAAACUCAGAGUUAGAUAGUUGUCUGCAUGUAUUUUUAAGUUGUUAUAUAUGAACUCGACCUCACUUGCAACCCAGGUUGACAACAGGUGGAUACAGUUAACCA